UUAAAUUGAAGAGUUUGAUCAUGGCUCAGAUUGAACGCUGGCGGCAGGCCUAACACAUGCAAGUCGGGCGGAAACGACAUCAACAAUCCUUCGGGUGCGUUUAUGGGCGUCGAGCGGCGGACGGGU
rnacentral:rRNA from 1 species